CUUCUUUUUAAUAAGGCAAACAGACUGAGCUCUUUUAAGUCUCAUAGUAAUGUAUCCCCUGCACAUCUCAUCCCUGGGAUGAUAUGUAUUUUAUUAAAUAAUUUUUUAAACUCAUUCUGGUUCAUUUUCAGUGCAAUAGAGAAGCUGUUCUAGCAGUCAAAAAAAAAAAAAAAAGGACAGAGUAGUACUGAACAAUUGGAUAAAAGAUGAUGAUUCUAAAGCAAAACAGUGUGAAAAUGGACGGAUCUUUUAUAACACCAGUAUCUAGAGACUGCAGCCAGUGUUGGGAUAGAUUUCAUACUCUGUAAUCAGACAAAGCCUAGAGAUUGGCAGACUUAGUCUACAGAGGCCAAAGAAAAGAGAGGUGAACUAGAAAAAGACACAAAGAGAGAAAACAUCUUGCUUAACUCAGAGAAAAUGUCUAAAAAAGGGCUGAGAAUAAAAAGUAUCUCUUCUGACUCCUUGUAGAUUUCCCCUCCUGCUUCCCUUUAGCUGUAAAUUAAUUUAAUAAAGUGUUCUCUAAAUGAGAUAUCCUUUGUCCAGUCACUGUGUGUCUUGGUUUGAAAAGACAGGAGUCUGUGAAGGAAGGCAAGAGCCUCCCGUGAAAUGGAAAAGGUAAACCCCCUCCCUCCAAAUUACCACAAUUUCAAAAUAAAAAGGCUCUCAGGCAAAGAUAUGGGAAUAACAGUUCUUUACUAGGAAAAAAAAAAUUUAAAAAAUGUAAUUAGUACAAACAGAAUUACUGAUAGAGUCAGAAACCUGACACCCUGAGGAGUCAGGGUGUCAGUGAUAGUCCAGUUAAAUGGUGGCUGUUCCUCCUGGAGUGGCAGAUGAAAUGCUGCUGAAGCGAUGAUCCAGUAGAAGGGUGUAGUUUUCUCUGAAGGUCUGGUGAUAGAGUAGAUGGGCCUGGUUUUCCUCUGGGAAUCCAGUGAAGAGGCUGAGUUGAUGUCCCAAGAAAUGCUGAUUUUAUGCAGGUAGGGAUGCUUGGCUCCUCCCUCUGGGUGGAGCAUCUCACAAUGGGAUGAUGUAACUUUCUCAGUCAUGCAGUGAGCCAUUAAAUGGCCCAUUAACAAAAGAUAUCUCCCCGGAGGGAGACAUUGUUCUUGGAAGCGAUAAGAAAACUGCCCAACAGAAGAUACCUGCCCUACCUCUGACAGAUGGCAAAUAGAAUAUAUGCUUAUCUUACAAGCCAAGACACUGUGCCAGUGUACAGUUGUUUGGAUUUUUUCUAGUGGGUAUGUCUGAUUUUGCUCUGAGAGCUGCAGUAUUAGACUGGUCUUGGACAUAUUCCUUUGACAUCCUUGAAGCACAAAUGAGGACAGCACAGAAAUAGCAGUGGUGAUUGACUCUCCUUCCUCACCAAGGCCAGCAUCUUCUCUGCAGUAAUAGCCAUCUGCUAUCAGAAGAGGACCCGGAAACCGCACAUUAAAUAGACUGCUUGGUGGUGCUGAGCAAUAGGACAAGAGGCAAGAAGCAGAAAAUGAUGCACAGGAAGUUCCACGUAAAUACGAGGAAGAACUUCUUUACACUGUGGGUGACUGAGCAUUGGAACAGGCUUCCCAGAGAGGAUGUGGAGUCUCCCUCACUGGAGAUAUUCAAGAACUGUCUGGAUGCAGUCCUGUCCCAUGUGCUCUAGGAUGAUCAUGCUUGAGCAGGGAGUUUGGACCAGAUGACCCACUGUGGUCCCUUCCAACCUAACACAUUCUGUGAUUAAAUUGCACAUUGUUGGGUGAGGGUUUUGUUCCCACUUCCCUGGGGAGCCUGUUCCAGUGCCCAACCACCCUCUGGGUGAAAAACCUUUUCCUCAUAGCUAACCUAAACCUCCCCUGACUCAGCUUCAUGCUGUUUCCUUGAGUCCUGUCACUGGUCACAAGAGUGAAAAGAUUGGUACCUGCCCCCUCCACUUCCCCUCAUGAGGCUGUUGAAGACUGCAAUGAGAGGUCUCUCAGUCUCCUGUUCUCUAGGCUGAACAAACCAAAUUAUUUCAGCUGCUGCUAAUAAGGCCUGCCGAUUAGUGAGUGGGUGGAGAGGACUUAAUGAAAGGUCUUAUACUGGAGACUAAAAUAGAUUGGAAUUACAGCAUUAUCUGGAGUGAUGAAUGAAAUUUAUCGAGGUUGUUUCCUCAAAAGAAUGCACUGACCAUUGAAAAACUGCCUUUCCCCCACCUUUAUCUGCAUCUGAACUUAUUUAUCUGAAUCAACUUCACUUAGGGACAGGAUGAAACUUCUUUGUUGUGAGAAUGGUCAGACACUGGAACAAGUUGCCCAGAGAAGUUGUGGAAUCUCUGUCCUUGGAGGUAUUCAAAACUGGACACAAUCCUGUUAUAGAUACAUAUUAUAAUAUUGGCUUUUUGCAAAUAUUUAAAUGGAUUUUAUAUGUGUGAUGUUAAAGUAACUUUGUUAUAAAGAUAUAGUUUGUAUUUCUGCUGUUAAUUAAGAUUAGACAUAGUAGUGAAAUAGCUAUGCUUGUGUUAAAAUGCCUGCUUGGAUGGGAUAACAUCCAAUGAACACUGGAUGAGAACACUGUGAUAAGUUAGAAAAGACUGUUUGUUCAUCAAGACAGAAAGAAGAAGCCUUGUGUAGAUAACAGAAAAUCAAAGGAGAAGCCUUGUGUAGAUAACAGAGAAUCAAAGGAGAAGCCUUGUGUAGAUAACAGAAAACCGCCAGACAGAAACUAGUUAGUAUGUUGAUUACUUAAGCUGGUUGUGUAAUUAGAACUUAGGUGCAUAUGGAAAAGACCAUUACAGGGCCGUGGACUUUCGCCGGGGAAGAAGAGAGGAGCUUCCCUCGGGCGACCACCAGAGAGUAGAAGACGACCCCCUAGCAAUAGAGGGCGCAAGCGCAGAGUACACCCAGAGAUACUGCGGCCCCGGAGAAAAAAAAGUAUAAAAAGACUGUGGGAAGGGGGAAACGGUGUGGGCCGUUUUGCGGAGCGGGGACUCCCCGGCUGCACCCAGCGCUGUUUGCUUGCCAUCGCUUGCUGUAAUCAAUAAAUUUCUGAUUGACUCUUGAAAGGCUGAACAAAUUAUUCGCCUCAAUUUAUAACAAUCUGGUGCCGCAACUCGGAUAAGGGCUAUCCGCUGGAAACUCCUCCUGGGGAGGCGCCCUCGCUGCUUCGGCAGCGAGCCCCGCUCAGGAGUCCCCCUCUGGGACCCUUACCGACGAACCCAAAUUCGGUGGCAAGCAAAGAAUAGCCGGCAACCCCUUAAUCUUUGUGCACGAAGUCCCGGGCGAAGACACAGGACUGUAGACUGCAAUUCGGACCGCCGAGAAGGGAUGGACCCACGCAAGCUGAGUUAAAGGACCGAUCACUACGGCUGACCAUUGGAGAGUAACGAGCCAACCUGGAAACCUGAAGGUCACCUUGAAGAAGAACUAACGGACUCAGUACACCUGCUACAGAUAUGCCAACUGUCAGCACUCACCGUCUGAAGAAAGCAUGGACCAAGGCCCAAACUGGAAGUGAUAAGGAGAAGGAGCCAAAACCACAGGCAAGAAACACGCGUGCUCUAAAAAGAUGGACCUGAGGAGGGGUCAUGUAAAAUAGUUCCUGGAAAAUGUAAACUAGUUUAUGGAAAUGCAUAAGGGUUUAUGAAUAUGCAACAGGCUGAUGUAAGGGAAAAGGUAUUUAAGAGGUAUCCCCAAAUGUAACAGUGUGGUCUUGGCUCAGUGCCAAUAUGCACCCAGCCGUAAUAACCUUUGCUUUAUGG